rnacentral:rRNA from 1 species
CCUACGGGCGGCAGCAGUGGGGAAUAUUGGACAAUGGGGGCAACCCUGAUCCAGCCAUGCCGCGUGUGUGAAGAAGGCCCUCGGGUUGUAAAGCACUUUCAGUGAGGAAGAACGCCUGGUGGUUAAUACCCAUCAGGAAAGACAUCACUCACAGAAGAAGCACCGGCUAACUCCGUGCCAGCAGCCGCGGUAAUACGGAGGGUGCGAGCGUUAAUCGGAAUUACUGGGCGUAAAGCGCGCGUAGGUGGCUUGAUAAGCCGGUUGUGAAAGCCCCGGGCUCAACCUGGGAACGGCAUCCGGAACUGUCAAUCUAGAGUGCAGGAGAGGAAGGUAGAAUUCCCGGUGUAGCGGUGAAAUGCGUAGAGAUCGGGAGGAAUACCAGUGGCGAAGGCGGCCUUCUGGACUGACACUGACACUGAGGUGCGAAAGCGUGGGUAGCAAACAGGAUUAGAUACCCGAGUAGUC